rnacentral:lncRNA from 1 species
GUGGUCUUACAUCAUCAUAAGAUGACUAUUUUUAUUCUUGGAUGAGUAUCAUAACUAUUAAAAUAUACAUUUCUGUGACAGUACAAUCCACAACAGAAUAUAUUGAAUUCAGAAAAUUAGCAAGAGCAUUUUAAAGCCUAAUACUAAGAGAGUGGCUAAGGACAAAUAGAAGGGGAACGGAGGGGGCUAAAGACAAACCAGAAGCAGCCACAUGCCAAGCCAAGCACCCAUGAUGAGGCAGAACAGGCCCCAACAGGUUUUACAGCCAAUUCAGCUGAUGCACAUGGUUGCAGCGUUGCCCUGCUUUGCACGACACACUGCACCUGUGACUUGCAGCUCUUUCAGGUGGCAAGAAAGUAAUUAGGCACCAUAAGAAAACUUGAAAAAUAAGUGUCAUAGGCUGUAAUGUCUUCUGCUACAAGGGAAUCUGUAUUUUGUGCAGCUUUGUCUAUCCAGCAGUAUGACGUGGAUCCUACAGACAUAUGCAUUUCACCAGAGACCUUUCUGAAAGCACUGUAACCAAAUUAUUUUCCAGACUUACAUGAGUCGUUACCAGCCAGACGUAGGAGUCAGUGAAAAUUAAGAAGAUAAUUUUAGAACAUUUUAAAAAUAAAUAAAUAAAAGAAAUUUCACAUUUUUGAAGAAAAGAGAAAGAGCUCAAGGAAUUAACAAUGGCAGAAAGUAACUGGAUAGUCAGGGCUCAGAGUUGGUUUUACAUUUUUGACUGAGAUGAAACCUUGAAUUUGCACAAUGGCUUUUAAGGGACUUUUGGGAACACAUGAUAUCAUUAUAUUGUCUUACUUUUGUCCCAGGAUGAGGAAGUAAAGAACUGUCAACAUUCGAAGUGCAGAAUGCUUGGGCCUGGUUCAAUUCAAGUUGGUUUUCAUUGUCUUCCAAACCUUAGGAUGUUGGUUUGCACCAUUUCUAAUAUUCAUGAAGAACAUACCUUCGGUCAGAGCUUAGCAUCAUGUUGAAAUGCAUCUGAUGAAGUUCUUCAGCUGAGGACUUAAACAGAACAGUCAGAAUUUUUUUUCAGCCAAGGCAGAGAUAUCUGGGCACCAAAAUGUCAAGCCUCUAAACUUCCUUCUUAUCUCAGAAAGCUUGAUUUUGCAUUGGUCAAGUUCUUCAGGCCAUCCUUGUUCUUCACCAGAUCUUCUACCAUCAGCAAGAGUUGAGGUGCUAAAUGUUUAUGUCAUGCUCAAAUCCCCACAGAGUUUUAUUCCAUAUGCCUAGCAUGGAAUAACAUGACUGACCUCCACACACAGAGUUACCACCCAUGGCAGCUGGAACUAGAUGAUCUUUAAGGUCCUUUUCAUCCAUAACCAUUCU